CCCCUGCUCAACUGUAAUUUUAAAUAAAUGGGACCAUAAUUUACAAAAUGAACAUUAUGCUGUAUUAAAGAAGACUUGAAAGUAGCAAUUGAGACCAUAAACUCAGUAUGAAAAUGUUCAUUGUUGUAAUAAAUCAAGUAGAAGCGGGUUACUU